GGGCAGCCAAGUCGUGAGGCGGAGCUAAUCCCUUAAAGCCAUUCUCAGUUCGGAUUGUAGGCUGAAACUCGCCUACAUGAAGCUGGAGUUACUAGUAAUCGCAGAUCAGAAUGCUGCGGUGAAUGCGUUCCCGGGUCUUGUACACACCGCCCGUCACACCACGGAAGUUGGGGGCGCCCGAAGCCACUUAGCUAACCCUUUUGGGAAGCGAGUGUCGAAGGUGAAAUCAAUAACUGGGGGUGAAGUCGUAACAAGGUAGC
rnacentral:rRNA from 1 species